GAUCCUGGCUCAGGAUGAACGCUAGCUACAGGCUUAACACAUGCAAGUCGAGGGGCAGCAUGACGAUAGCUUGCUAUUGUUGAUGGCGACCGGCGCACGGGUGAGUAACGCGUAUCCAACCUGGCCCUUGUCCAUCGGAUAACCCGUCGAAACGGCGGCCUAACACGAUAUGCAGUUCUCAGCAGGCAUCUAACGAGAACGAAAUGUAAAGGAGAAGGAUGGGGAUGCG
rnacentral:rRNA from 1 species